rnacentral:rRNA from 1 species
AUGUAUAGGGACUGACACCUGCCCGGUGCUGUAAGGUUAAACUAUGCUGUUUUGGCAGUGUACAUAAGCCUCAGUAAACGGCGGCUGUAACUCUGACGGUCCAAAGGUAGCGAAAUUCCUUGUCGGGUAAGUUCCGACCUGCACGAAUGGCGUAACGACUUCCCCGCUGUCUCCAGCAUCGACUCAGUGAAAUUGAAUUCCUCGUGAAGAUGCGAGGUUCCUGCGGUCAGACGGAAAGACCCCGUGCACCUUUACUACAGCUUCGCACUGGCAUCAGGACUGCAAUGUGCAGGAUAGGUGGUAGGCUUCGAAGCAGGGACGCCAGUUCCUGUGGAGCCUUCCUUGAGAUACCACCCUUUGCAUUCUUGAUGUCUAACCGCGGUCCGUUAUCCGGAUCCGGGACCCUGCGUGGCGGGUAGUUUGACUGGGGCGGUCGCCUCCUAAAGCGUAACGGAGGCGCGCGAAGGUUGGCUCAGAGCGGUCGGAAAUCGCUCGUUGAGUGCAAUGGCAGAAGCCAGCCUGACUGCGAGACUGACAAGUCGAGCAGAGUCGAAAGACGGCCAUAGUGAUCCGGUGGUCCCAAGUGGGAGGGCCAUCGCUCAACGGAUAAAA